rnacentral:lncRNA from 1 species
AACUCUGCCUCCCGGGUUCAAGCAAUUCUCUUGCCUCAGCCUCCCGAGUAGCUGGGAUUACAGGCAUGUGCCACCAUGCUCAGCUAAUUUUGUACUUUUAGUAGAGACGGGGUUUCUCCAUGUUGGUCAGGCUUGUCUCGAACUCCCAACCUCUGGUAAUCCACCCACCUUGGCCUCCCAAAGUGCUGGGAUUACAGGCAUGAGCCACCGCGCCCGGCCCACUCUUUAAAGUUCAGAUCACUCCUUUCCCCUGCUUAAAUCCCCUCCACCCACCAAACUCCCAGCUUCCACCUCCCUGCUUCCAAACUGAGCAGCUUGUGAUUCCCAAACAAAACCCAGGAUCUCCACUGCCCAGCUUUUGCUCAGUGUGAUUUUGUUAUGCAUGGAACACCCACACCCAUCUGCUCAUCUUAUUUUUUUCCAAUCUUUUUUUAUUGUGAUAAAAUACAUAUAAUGUAAAAUUUACUAUCUUAACCAUUUUAAAGUAUAUGGUUUAGUGGCACUAAGUACAUUCACAUUGUUGUGCAACCAUCACCACCAUCCAUCUCCUGAGCCUUUUCCUUUUACAAAACUGGAACUCUGUACCCAUUAAGCAAUAAUUCUCUAUUUUCCUUUUCCCAGCAACCAUCAUUCUACUGUCUCUUUGAUUUUGACUACUCUAAGCAUUUCAGAUGAGUAGAAUCAUACUUGUCUUUUUGUGACUGGCUGAUUUCACUUAGCAUAAUAUAGAUGUCCUGAAGGUUCAUCUGUGUUGUAGCAUAUGUUAGAACAUCCUUUUUAAGGCUGAAUAUUAUUCCACCGUGUAUAUUGUGUGUACUCCAUUUUGCUUAUCCAUUCAUCUGUUGAUAGGCACUCAGGUUGAUUCCAUGUUUUAGCUAUUGUGAAUAAUGCUAUGUACAUACGUGUGCAAGAAUCUCUUGGAGACCCCUACUCACCUAGUUUUUUUUUUAAUUUAAUUUUAUUUUUUUAAGAUGGAGUCUCACUCUGUCACCCAGGCUGGAGUGCAGUGGUGCCAUCUUGGUUCACUACAACCUCCACUUCCCGGGUUCAAGUGAUUCUCCUGCCUCAACCUCCCAAGUAGCUGGGAUUAUAGGUGUGUGCCACCACACCCGGCUAAUUUUUGUAUUUUUAGUAGAGACGGGGUUUCACCAUGUUGGCCAGGCUGGUCUCGAACUCCUGACCUCAAGUGAUCCACCCACCUCGGCCUCCCAAACUGCUGGAAUUACAGGUGUGAGCCACCGUGCAGGGCCACUCACCUGAUGUUAGACUUUCUCCACGAAGUCACUUAUUAACCUUAAUCUCCUCCACUUGACCGGCCUCUGUUUUGUUCCAGCAGCCAUUUUUCAGAUACCUGGUACGCACAAGCAGGGCCCAGCUUGGGAGACGCUAGGAUAACUAAGACCUGGUCAGCGCCCUGAGGAGUCUUGUCUGGAUAAAGGGAGACACACACUAGCUUGGACUUAUGCGUGCAGCGGAGCUGUGUAGAGCAGGAGUGCGUGGAGAGGGCAGCAAUGAACUUUGGCUGGAGAGCCAGAGAAAGCUUCGUGAGCUGGAACACGGGGUAAAGUAGGAGCUUUCCAGGGCGGAGGGGACUUCUGAAGUGGAGGAAACUGCCUGUUCAGGACAUGGAGGUAGGGAUCAAAUCCGUUUUGAGCCUCGAAGGAUGGACGAGUGUCAGAGUAGGGGGUUAGAAGGGAAAACACGGUGCCCUAUGAAGUGGAACAAUGGGGAUGAGCCCCACCCCCUGCCGCUUACUCAACAUUUACUAAACUACGAUUUACCAAGGUCACAGAGGGAGCAUGGGGUGCCGGGAACCCAGACACAACUGGAUGCCAUCUGCGGCUCUGGGAUCUCACAAUCCGGCAAGAAGACAGGCAGUAAAGGAAAUAAGAGGUGCUCUGGGCUCAGGGUGGUGUUAGCAGACACAGGGGUGUGAGGCAGGGAGUGUCCACCACCUGCAGUUGUGUGGGAGGGUUUUGAGCUUAGGCUGAGGCGUGCAAAAUGGGGAGGUGGUCCAUGAGAGCACGAGUCCAAAACCAGGUGUUAUCCAUCAAAACGAGGCCUGUCCCGGCGUGCUAAGAAGGUUCUGCUUCUUGAUCUGGGUGCCUGCCUCAGAGGUGUGUGUCAUUAUGGAAAUUCACUGAGCUAUACACUUAUAACUUCAUAUAUGUACAUUCAUGGUAGUUGUACUUGCUUAAAAUUUGCUUUUAAGUCCCCCCCCACCCCCACCAACCCCGAUACCUCUUUUGUAAGACUAAACUCUGGGGAUCCAGUCCAAUCUCAGCUCUAGGGCCUUGGGGAGGAAAUUUCAAUGAAUUAGUUUCUUCACCUGUAAAAUGCGGAUGAUUGUAUUGUCAUCACAAGGGCUGUGUGCAGCGCCAGCAACUCGAGAUACGUAAAGCAUUUAAAUAGUGCUUCCUCUGCCCCUCUCAGCAGUAUCAAAUUUCUAAUGAUUGGCAGUGUCUGGCACAGAGGAGCUCAAUGUAAUUCACUGAAUAAACGAACGAAUGAGCUCAAAGUAUGAUUUUUUUUUUUUUUUGGCACCGGGAGGUAGCUUGAACAAAUGCAGGGGUGUGGGUUGGAGUGGCGUGUCUCUACUAAAG